CUCUGCUGUGAGGGUUUGGAAGCUUGCAUUUUCUAUUUGAGAAGAGUACUCUAAGCAAAUUGCUGGAGGCUGUUCCAGGGGGAGUGAGCAGUCCUCUGCAGAAGCUGUACCCGUUUGACAGAAGAGAUCUGAAAUGUGUAAAUAUCAGCUCCCAGAUUGCCAAAGAGCUUCAUUAGAUGCAGGAGUACAAAACAAAUGAAGGGAGACCCCUGACUGUGAAGAGCUCUAACUUAAGAUGCAAACAGCAGGAAGAGGCAAGAAGCAGAAUGAGAUUUGAUAUGGGAGAAUGAAUCAUGAAGCAUGCUGUGGAUUUUGGAGGCUGCAUAUAUAUUUAUAUAGUUACAGUGUACUCAGUCCUAGUUGACAUGCAUGACUGUGUGGUCUGGAAUGUGUUAGACAUUUUUUAAGGUACUUAGAAAAGGUCAAGUUGAAUUAAUUUGUCAGCUCAAUGUUACCUGUACUGAUGAGUUAUUGCAUAAUCUUGCUCAUGUUCAGCGUGUUAUAGCAGGGGAUUGGUUAUUCUGACUAUCACAAAAAUGUGCUUACACGCAAGUGCUUUAGACUGCUUUUAUUGUGUAUUUCAAAUUUUCAACCAUAAAGUGUUCAAUGGAGAUUGCUGGCACAGAACAUUGUUAGACUAUUAUAUUGAUUUUUCUAGUUAGUGUACUAUAACCAAAAGUAUCCAUCCCUUAAUUAAAACCCUCUGAAUCUUAAAA